GAAUGACCAGGAAAUGCACAGGAGCCUGAGGGGCCACGUCACGGAACACCAGACACUGGAAGCAGUGACAGGCAGAGGCAGAAGGAUCACUCGGGAGUUCCAGGACAGCCUGGUCUACAUAGCAAGACUCAAUCUCAAAAUACAUCAGUAUCCCCUCAAAUACUCACCACCCGGUCUCCCUCCUCUUCGCCUGGUCUCCUCAGUCUCAAAGAAAGUCUCAUGUUCCUCCCAGCGCCGGUCACAGGCCGCACAGAGGAAAUUUGACUCAAAACUGUUGCAGCCACAGCCUAAGGCAAAAGCACACCAAGAAGAAUAUAAGAAAUUAAUGGCAUCCCCACGAGCUGACACAUUCUUGCCUCGUCUUCAUCCUGCAUCUGCUUCUCCCCACCCAAACACCCCUUGGCACUAGAAGUUACCUCGGUGCCUGCAGGGAUGCGCUCCGGUGGCUGCAUGUUCUUCAUCCUCCCUGGUCCGCGUUCAUCUCUGUCUCUCCCUCUGAGAGACAAAGGCUACCGUAACCCCUCCAUCCUUGACAAGUCUGGCAACUUCUUUCCUACCUGAGAUGAUCUGGUGUUCUUUCAACAAAUGUCCACAAAAGCACCUGGACUGGUCUCCAAUCCGGAAACAGUCCCAUAGGUAAUGAGGGCAGCGCCAGCCAAUGUAAAGACCUACAUAUGGAGGGAUUAACAGGGAAGAGUGAAAAAGAAAAAAAACAUCCUACACU